rnacentral:tRNA from 1 species
GAGAGAGUUUCAGUCCUAAACCUAAAAAAUUGCUAGUUUUUUAGCCCCGCGGUUAAAGUCCGCGGCUCCCUCG